GGCUGCUCUCUGGUCUCUGGAGAUGAGGCGGGAGGACUUGGGGACAGCUGUGGGGACACGGCCCAGAUGCUCUGGUCCCAGCAGAAGUGACUGGCGGGGACCAGGCAUUGGAACCUGCUUUUGGAAAAAUUUCACAUCUGUCAGCUGAUGAAGACACAACGCCCAAAUACGCUGGCCGCAAGAGUCAGAGUGCCACUCUCCUGGGACAAAGAUGGUCAUCUAACCACUUAGCUCCUCCAAAGCCAAUGAGUUUAAAGACAGAAAGAAUUAACUCGGGGAAAACACCACCACAGGAAGAUAGAGAGAAAAGUCCUCCCGGGAGACGUCAAGACAGAAGUCCAGCACCCACUGGAAGGCCGACUCCCGGUGCAGAAAGACGGGGGGUGUCUGAAGACGGAAAGAUUAUGCAUCCAUCUUCCCGAAGUCCGCAAAACUCCGGUGGCAGAAAAUCACCAGUGCAGGCUUCCCAGGCCACCACGCUGCAGGAGCAGACGGCAGCAGCCAGAGGAGCUGACAGAAGCUCAUCAGUCUUAGGGAGUUCUGAAGGCGGAUUUCUCAGCCGCGUUCAAGCUGACGAGUUCGCCAGUUCUGCCCCAGACAGUGCAGAGCGGCAGAAUCUUCCUGUAAACCCACCAUCUUCCCUGGAAAUAGCACAGGCCAUGGACACUAAGAUGAAAAAGGAGGAAGUACAGGAAGAAAAACGACAUCCAAAGGGCAAGGCAGAUGACUGCCGGCGGUCCGGUUUCCCGAGUGAAUUUCCAGGAGCUCUGCACGCCGCUCCCUCCAGACAGGACAUGGGGCCCUGACCUGGAGGCCAGGCGUUUCUAGCAUUGUUGACUGCCAGUUUAUUCCCAGUAAAUAAAGCAAUACGCUUUUCAGGAGGAAGAUUUGUUUUAAAUACUUAAAAAAAAACCCAAAACUAUAGCCUCAAAUAUCUUCCAGCCACCACAUUUUAGCCCUUGAGGAGAGCUCAGUUCCGGAAGGACGCGUCAAGGUGGCGGUGGUCG
ensembl:lncRNA TCP10L3 t-complex 10 like 3 (pseudogene)